CCUGGUUGAUCCUGCCAGUAGUCAUAUGCUUGUCUCAAAGAUUAAGCCAUGCAUGUGUAAGCACACACUGUUUUAAAAGUGAAGCCGCGAAUGGCUCAUUACAACAGCCACAGUUUAUUAGAACUUACAAUCAUGGAUAACUGUGGUAAUUCUAGAGCUAAUACACGCACAAAAACUUCAACUGAAUUGGUUGAAGUGCUUUUAUUAGAACAAAAACCGAACGGCGUUUGGCGAAUGUUGAACGUCGAAACUGUUUGGUGAAUCUGAAUAACUAUUUCUGAUCGCAUGGUCUAGCACCGGCGACAUCACUUUCAAGUGUCUGCCUUAUCAACCUUCGAUGGUAGUCUAUGCGACUACCAUGGUGAUAACGGGUAACGGAGAAUCAGGGUUCGACUCCGGAGAGGGAGCCUGAGAAACGGCUACCACAUCCAAGGAAGGCAGCAGGCGCGCAAAUUACCCACUCCCAGCUUGGGGAGGUAGUGACGAAAAAUAACGAGACGAUUCUCGUUUGAGAAACGUUAUCGAAAUGAGUACGCUUUACACACGCUAACGAGUAGCAAUUGGAGGGCAAGUCUGGUGCCAGCAGCCGCGGUAAUUCCAGCUCCAAUAGCGUAUAUUAAAGUUGCUGCGGUUAAAACGCUCGUAGUUGAAUUGUGGUCUUAGACAACAGUCCCCCUACAUAGGUGUGGCACGGUUGCUCGAGAUCUUCAUUCGUGGUUGCUGUUGUUGCUCUUCAUUAAAAAAUUAGAGUGCUCAAAGCAGGUUGUGAUGCCUGAAUAAUGGUGCAUGGAAUAAUAGAAUACGAUCUCGGUUCUAUUUUGUUGGUUUUCGAACCGGAGAUAAUGAUUGAAAGGAACAGACGGGGGCAUUCGUAUUGCUGCGUUAGAGGUGAAAUUCUUGGAUCGCAGCAAGAUGAACAAUUGCGAAAGCAUUUGCCAAGAAUGUUUUCAUUAAUCAAGAACGAAAGUUAGAGGUUCGAAGGCGAUCAGAUACCGCCCUAGUUCUAACGGUAAACUAUGCCAACCAGCGAUUCGCCGAAGUUCAUUUAAGACUCGGCGAGCAGCUUCCGGGAAACCAAAGUGUUUCGGUUCCGGGGGAAGUAUGGUUGCAAAGCUGAAACUUAAAGGAAUUGACGGAAGGGCACCACCAGGAGUGGAGCCUGCGGCUUAAUUUGACUCAACACGGGAAAACUCACCCGGCCCGGACACUGGAAGGAUUGACAGAUUGACAGCUCUUUCUUGAUUCAGUGGGUAGUGGUGCAUGGCCGUUCUUAGUUGGUGGAGCGAUUUGUCUGGUUAAUUCCGAUAACGAACGAGACUCUACCCUAUUAAAUAGUGACAGUAUUGUAUUUUUUGUGCUGAUCACUUCUUAGAGGGACUGGCAAAUUGAAAGCUGCACGAAAAAGAGCAAUAACAGGUCUGUGAUGCCCUUCGAUGUCCGGGGCUGCACGCGCGCUACAAUGAAAGCGUCAACGUGAGUUACGUCCUUACCUGAAAAGGUUUGGCAAUCGAAUGAAACGUUUUCUUGAAUGGAAUAGGGAAUUGCAAUUGUUUCCCUUGAACGAGGAAUUCCCAGUAAGCGUGAGUCAUUAGCUCGCGUUGAUUACGUCCCUGCCCUUUGUACACACCGCCCGUCGCUACUACCGAUUGGAUGAUUUAGUGAGGUGUUUUGACUGGCGCCAGUAGUCGGAUGUAUUCGGCUUCGCGCCGGGAAAUUUCCCAAACCAAAUCAUCUAGAGGAAGUAAAAGUCGUAACAAGGUUUCCGUAGGUGAACCUGCGGAAG
rnacentral:rRNA from 1 species